AAUGAACGUUGGCGGCAUGGAUUAGGCAUGCAAGUCGCACGAGAACCCAAUUAGCUUGCUAAGAGGGGGACAGUGGCGAAAGGGAGAGUAACGCGUGGUUACUUGCCCUCGAGACCGGGAUAGCGUCGGGAAACUGGCAGUACUACCGGAUAACAUCUACGGAUCAAAUGGAGUGAUUCCGCUCGAGGAUAGGACCGCGUACUAUUAGCUUGUUGGUGAGGUAAUGGCCCACCAAGGCUGCGAUGGUUACCGGGGGUGAGAGCAUGGCCCGGCUCACUGGGACUGAGACACUGCCCAGACAUCUACGGAUGGCUGCAGUCGAGAAUCUUCGGCAAUGGACGAAAGUCUGACCGAGCGAUGCCGCGUGCGGGAUGAAGGCCCUCGGGUUGUAAACCGCUGUCAGUUGUUAGGAAAUGCUAGGGGGUUCUCCCCUUAGUUUGACCGAUCUUCAGAGGAAGGACGGGCUAAGUUCGUGCCAGCCGCCGCGGUAAUAC
rnacentral:rRNA from 1 species